UAAGGAGAAUUUUGUGAGUUAUAAUGGUGAGGUUUUUCAUAUGUUUGAGCUUUGGUGGAUAAAGUUACUCGGUAUGGGUAUGUGUGUUGUGCUGGUGUGAGGUAGCAGGUAUUUUAGUACCAUAACUAUGAAAAAGAAUGGAGAUUUUGUAAGUUGUUAGAAUGAUGAGGUUUUUUUUAUGUGUUUGAGCUUUGGCGGAUAGAGUUACUUGGUAUGUGUGCUCUAUUGGUGGGAGGUAGCAGGUAUUUUUGUAGCAUGACUAUGAAAAAGGAGAAUUUUGUAAGUUGUUAGAAUGGUGAGGUUUUUCAUAUGUUUGAGCUUUGGUGGAUAGAGUUACUUGGUAUGUGUGCUGUGCUAGUGUGAGGUUUUGGUACCAUGACUAUGAAAAAGAAUGGAGAAUUUUGUAAGUUGUUAGAAUGAUGAGGUUAUUCAUACGUUUGAGCCUUGGUGGACGGAUAAAGUUACUCGGGACCUAUGUUGUGUUGGUGGGAGGUAAUUUGUAGUUUGUCGAGUGAGGUGGGUUGUACACCAUGGCUAUGAAAAAGAGAAUUUUGUAAGUUGUUAGAAUGAUGAGGGGUUUCAUAUGUUUGAGCCUUGGUGGAUAGAGUUACUUAGUAUGUGUGUUGUGCUGGUGUGAGGUAGCAGGUAUCGUGUGU
rnacentral:lncRNA from 1 species